rnacentral:rRNA from 1 species
UACGAAGGUGGCAAGCGUUGUUCGGAUUUACUGGGCGUACAGGGAGCGUAGGCGGUUGGAUAAGCCCUCCGUGAAAUCUCCAGGCUUAACCUGGAAAGUGCAGAGGGGACUGUUCAGCUAGAGGAUGGGAGAGGAGCACGGAAUUCCCGGUGUAGCGGUGAAAUGCGUAGAGAUCGGGGAGGAAGGCCGGUGGCGAAGGCGGCGCUCUGGAACAUUUCUGACGCUGAGGCUCGAAAGCGUGGGGAGCAAACAGG